CAUCAACAAAUGAAUAGAAAUAUCUUAUUCUGCUCUGCUGAUAUAACUAAACCCAAUUUUCCCCAGCAGAACAGAAUAAGGGGACUGUUGAUACUUGGUUGAUUCUAAACAUCUGUUCUGGUAAUUUUGUAAAAGAUUGGAAAUCUUUGAAUAUAAAAAGAUUAUAAAGGUCGAAGCAAGACUUUCCGAUUCCCUUCUACUGCUAUACUCAUUGGGUCUUGAAUUACAUUGGAUAGCCGGGGGAUAAUUCAACUACUAGUUAGGGAAUUUCUAUACUGUAAUCUACAUAUAUAGACUCGCGAGAAUCUCUGAGUAUUCAGGCAUUCAAUCACUAUUAGAUUGAGAUUGCAUAGAUUUUUUAUAGAAAAGAAAAAGUGAAAAAAAAAAAAAAUCAUUUUUUUUUUCACCCCUCGUCAAGAGUAUAAUAUACUAUCUCCCAACUCCUUCAGAUAGACAAUCGCGAAGGGGUACGGAUUAUAUCAAAUAUCAAUAUCAAAUAGGAAAUAAAAGUAUGUAAUAGAUAGCAAUUGAUCUAUUUUUACUUUGAAGGGCAAGAAAAAAAGGAAAGGGCUCUCUUAUUUUAUUACUGGACGUUCCAUUCCAUUAGUAACAUUCCUUUGUAGUGUCAUUGUGUAUUUUACUUGUGUUUAGUCUUUCCCCAUUAGAAAUCAUAUAGGAAUUUUUGAAAUGGGUUUAUUUGAUUGGUUCAUCAAUAGUGUUUGGUCAGAAUCCCUUUUUGACUCUGGACCAUUCAUUCUACUAUUAUUAGUGAGCAAUAAUGGAAUAAUUC
rnacentral:misc_RNA from 1 species